CGUCCAGACUCCUACGGGAGGCAGCAGUGGGGAAUAUUGCACAAUGGGGGAAACCCUGAUGCAGCGACGCCGCGUGAGCGAUGAAGUAUUUCGGUAUGUAAAGCUCUAUCAGCAGGGAAGAAAAUGACGGUACCUGACUAAGAAGCCCCGGCUAACUACGUGCCAGCAGCCGCGGUAAUACGUAGGGGGCAAGCGUUAUCCGGAUUUACUGGGUGUAAAGGGAGCGUAGACGGCGGUGCAAGCCAGAUGUGAAAGCCCGGGGCUCAACCCCGGGACUGCAUUUGGAACUGUGCUGCUAGAGUGUCGGAGAGGCAGGCGGAAUUCCUGGUGUAGCGGUGAAAUGCGUAGAUAUCAGGAGGAACACCGGUGGCGAAGGCGGCCUGCUGGACUGCAACUGACGUUGAGGCCCGAAAGCGUGGGGAGCAAACAGGAUUAGAUACCCGCGUA
rnacentral:rRNA from 1 species